AGUGAACGCUGGCGGUAGGCCUAACACAUGCAAGUCGAACGGCAGCACAGUAAGAGCUUGCUCUUACGGGUGGCGAGUGGCGGACGGGUGAGGAAUACAUCGGAAUCUACUUUUUCGUGGGGGAUAACGUAGGGAAACUUACGCUAAUACCGCAUACGACCUACGGGUGAAAGCAGGGGAUCUUCGGACCUUGCGCGAUUGAAUGAGCCGAUGUCGGAUUAGCUAGUUGGCGGGGUAAGGGCCCACCAAGGCGACGAUCCGUAGCUGGUCUGAGAGGAUGAUCGGCCACACUGGAACUGAGACACGGUCCAGACUCCUACGGGAGGCAGCAGUGGGGAAUAUUGGACAAUGGGCGCAAGCCUGAUCCAGCCAUACCGCGUGGGUGGAGAAGGCCUUCGGGUUGUAAAGCCCUUUUGUUGGGAAAGAAAAGCAGCAGGUUAAUACCCCGCUGUUCUGACGGUACCCAAAGAAUAAGCACCGGCUAACUUCGUG
rnacentral:rRNA from 1 species